UACGUAGGGUGCAAGCGUUAAUCGGAAUUACUGGGCGUAAAGCGUGCGCAGGCGGUGAUGUAAGACAGAUGAGGAAUCCCCGGGCUCAACCUGGGAACUGCAUUUGUGACUGCAUCGCUGGAGUGCGGCAGAGGGGGAUGGAAUUCCGCGUGUAGCAGUGAAAUGCGUAGAUAUGCGGAGGAACACCGAUGGCGAAGGCAAUCCCCUGGGCCUGCACUGACGCUCAUGCACGAAAGCCAGGGGAGCGAACGGG
rnacentral:rRNA from 1 species